AGCAUUAUGGGUCAGUGUUGAGUGCCUUUGAUUGCGUGGAGUUGCCAGGUCCUCCUAAAUCACCCAUUUGUAUUUGGUGUAGUGGGGGAAAUUCUCCCUCAGCAACAGUAACGGUGAUGAAAAUUGAAAUGGAUGAAUAUUGAAAUAUCAUCUAGCAAACUGUUAGGAGAGGCAGUCAUGGCUUCGAAAAUGGACAUGUUCUAAAUCACUGGGACUGUGUAACCUUGAAAUGACAAGCAGGUGUACUGGUAGUUACUGGACAUUGACUUUGGAAUGUUAGAUGAUUGUGUUCACUAAUCUAUUUGAUGGAAAGCCAGGCUCAGGCCUGCCUGAUAGACUAAAUAACACAUUCACAGCCCACAGUUUUCAUAAAUGGAGCCCUGGGGAGCAACUAAGGCACAAAGACUGUGACACAGCCACCAGAUUGGCCAUGGUAUUCAGCUGUUAGCUGAUUACAUUGAUCUCAUUGAUUUGUUACAGCUUUCCAGUCAUUCCAUACCCAAAGCCACUGUGGAGACCCUUCUGAUUAAAAACCACAAACUGUCGGUGGGUGGAGCAGGUCAUCACAGAACAGGAUCAGGUGCCAUGAGCAGAACAAGCAUGGCUAAUUGAACUGUCAUGCACACACACAUAUAUAAAACAAGAGAAAAUUC